rnacentral:pre_miRNA from 1 species
GUUGUACUCCCUUCGUCCGAAAAUACUUGUCCGAGAAAUGGAUGUAUUUAGAUGUAUUUCAGUUUUAAAUACAUUUAUUUCUAUCAUUUUUACGACAAGUAAUUCCGGAUGAAGGGAGUAUGAC